rnacentral:lncRNA from 1 species
GAUGCUUUGGCGGUGCGUUAUCUGCAGCGUUUUUAUAACUUUUUCAUUGAAACUGUUAUUGAGCCAUAUCAAUAGAUUGCACAGUCGCAGCCCUGAUUUCUGGUUGCUCUGUGGUAUUGACGGAUGCACUGAGGAAUAUAGAGUGUACAAUUCCUUCUAUCAUCAUGUAAAGAGAAACCACCUUCAACACCUACUUGAUUGCACCCGACCAGAUGAACAGCCAUCGGAGGAAAGCCAAGUACCACCGGAACAAAUAAGACAAUAUUCUACCCGAUCAGCUUCUAGCGAACUCCAGCAUCACUGAUAAGCAACUCCAUACAUCUGACUCAGAUAAGGGGUAAAGGGGGCAUUGACCAACAUGGAGCUGUCACAGUGCAACUAGCUCUGACAACACAUGCCGAUGCUUUUGUGAUAAAUGCCAGAGCCAAGCAUCUUCUCUCACAGAAAGGUGUGAAUGACAUUUUUGCUGGGGUACAGCAGUAUCAAUCAUCACUAUUGGACAACCUCAGGAAGCAGAUGGAGGCAGUGCUAAAGAAGCAUUCAUAUAUUUGACAAUUUCAUUGACCCUUUUGCUGGCGUUUCAACAACAUUUAGACAGGACGGUGUUAUUAAGAAGCAGUUUAGCUGUUUGGACGCAGAGGAAGUUCCAAUUGCUCGAACCAUAUGCAGGAUCAAAUGUGGAGGAUCAAAAGACAUUUUCAAAUAUAUAUUUUUUUAAAUUAUGUACCAUUAGUCAAAAGUCUAGAACAGUUCUUAUCACACAAGGAUUUUGUCUAUGGUUGAAAAGGGACCCCAGAUGUGCAGGGAAAGAUUUUUUCAUGACAUUGUUGAUGGUGCUCUUUUAAAAUCACGUCCCUUAUUUUCAGAGAAACCAAAGCCAUUGCAGAUGGUUCUGUACGCAGAUGAAAUAGAAUUUUGUAAUCCACUAGGAUCCUUUGCAUCAAAAACAAGUUAAUGGUGUACUACACUCUAGGAAAUAUAAAUGCAGGUCUAAACUGGCUGCUAUCAGGCUUACUUGCCAUGGCUAGAUCAGCAGACCUCCUUCAAUCUGGUGUAGAUAUAAUAUUGAAUAGAAUCAAGGAAGACAUGGAUGCAUUGUACAGUGGGGUUAAAAUGCUAACUAUUAACGGAGAGAACGAUAUGUUGUGCCAUGGUCUCUCUCUGUGGAGACAUUGUCGUGGACGAAUCAGAAUUAGUUGGGUAACAUAGAUAAUUAAGAUGUUUUAUUAGUAUAAUAUGCUUAUGUGAGAUACUUGUCAUUAGAAAGUGUCCUUUGACUCUGGAAUGUUUCAGUUACACAUUUCCCUUAGCUGGGGCUCAGACACUUGGGGCCCAGAGAGGGGAAGAGGUCAGACUUGUCUUUUACUUGUCUCUGUUGCUCUGCAGAAUAUCAGCAAGAGAGGAGGACAGAAUGAAAUAUUUUCUUCGAAUGUGAAUGUCUCUUUACCUAUGCUUAAACCAUGUGAAGGGAUGGCGUGAUUACUGGGGAACCAAUGACUUGUCUCCACAAUGUCUGUGAGCAAGUCACACCCUCCUUUUCUUUAUUGUGGGGAGGAUUAUGGCAGUAAAUGGACCCUUGUAUGUCCUCUCUUAGAUCUCACACUUAUCCUGUGAUAAUAUAUGGCCUAGAGGCUCACUCCCUCCAGUGAGCCUGUCCAGGAGUGGGGUCAAGAGGGGGUUUGCUUGAGAUGGGAGUAUCUGGAGUUGACAAUUGAUAUAGCCAUUGGAUGAAAUGGUGUUUUUGUUCAAUACCGUACCAGGGAGGGACAGUUCUAAGGGGAACAGAUACUGGGCUAUACAAUUAAUCCUGUUGACAUAGCAGUUACUGUCUGAUGUGUUUUAUUGAUAUCUGUCAUACAAAACUUAACCUUUGAACUGUUACUAAGUAUCUGUGGUUUGUCAAUGUACGUUGAAGGGGGUAUCAUUGCUAUAAAAGAUCCCUGUAGCAAUUCUGUAAUCACCUUCCUGGUUCAUUCGAGAGAAUGCAUUAGUGGGCUCAAGAACUUUUGCAAAAGUAUCUUAAUUAAGUAUUAAAGAUGUAGUUUAACUCGG